rnacentral:lncRNA from 1 species
GCAGGCUGAGGGGCUGGAGAGAUGGCUCAGAGGUUAAGAGCACUGGCUGCUCUUGCAGAGGUCCUGAGUUCAAUUCCCAGCAACCACAUGGUGGCUCACAGCCAUCUAUAAUGAGAUCUGGUGCUCUCUUCUGGCAUGCAGGCAACACGCAGAACACUGUAUUCAUAAUAAAUAAAUAAAUUUAAAAAAGAAAAGAAAAGAAAGCAGGCUGAGCAAGCCACGAGGAGCCAGCCAGUAAGCAGCGCCCUCCAUGGCCUCCUGCCUCCAGGGUCCUGCCCUGCUUGAGCUCUUCUCCUGACUUCCUUCAGCAAUGGACAGUGAUGUGGAAGUGUCAGCCACAUAAACUUGGCGUUUGCUCAUGGUGUUUCAUCAUAGAAAUAUUAACCCUAACUAAGACAGAUGGGCUGUCACGGGCGGAGGGCGGCGCUUUAACAUGGGGAUGUGGGUGGUGGAAGUCAGGGAGGCACACAGAGGCACACAAGAGUAGUGGGGCCAACUGACCCAGGAUCUUCAGGAACACGACCUCCUGGCCCUCUGAAGGAGCCUUUUAUGCCCCAGAAGGACUAUCAACACUCAGGAAUGGCAAGAGUGCGUGUGUAAGAGUGCGCACGUAGACUGAAUGCAGACAUUCGAGUCGAUGACAGACAGAAGAUGAGGCAGAUCCCCCAAGUGAUGUCACAUCCAAGACAAAAGAUGGGCAAGAGGACCAUGGGCUCAUUCCUGACUGGGGUGCUGGCUGGACCCGAAAACCAGGGAUGCCUGGACUUCAGGGACUCAUGGAGUUUGGGUUACAAGGAGGAGGACCCUGCCUGGCACAAUAGCAUGGGUGGCUGCCCACCCCCUCAGAACACCAGCCUCUGCAAACUUCAUCUUUAUCUGCAUCCAUUAAACUGUGUCUUUGGCAGUGGAGCAGCUCCGUCUGGUGACAGGACCUGUCGGUGGUUCGGUGGAACUCAGUGGGACUACCACGUCACCCAGCCCCAGUCCCUUCCGGCUGACGACUCUUCCUUGCCGUCCAUCACGCCAGCACAUUCCUCUCUAAGCAGCACUGGCACUGAGCAGUCCUGUGAGUGUGCAUGUCCUCCAUGCUGGGAUUAG